CCUAUGGGGGGCAGCAGGCGCGAAAACUUUACAAUGCUGGCAACAGCGAUAAGGGAACCUCGAGUGCCAGGUUACAAAUCUGGCUGUCGAGAUGCCUAAAAAGCAUUUCAUAGCAAGGGCCGGGCAAGACCGGUGCCAGCCGCCGCGGUAACACCGGCGGCUCGAGUGGUAACCGUUAUUAUUGGGUCUAAAGGGUCUGUAGAGGCCGGGAGAGGUCUCUGGUACUUCAGGGGUAGGGGUGAAAUCUUGUAAUCCUUGAAGGACCACCAGUGGCGAAGGCGUCUCACCAGAACGGACCUGACGGCAAGGGACGAAAGCUAGGGGCACGAACCGGAUUAGAUACCCCGGUAGUCC
rnacentral:rRNA from 1 species